GCUCCCAUGGUGUAGUGGUCACUGCACUCGCCUUGCACGCGGGAGACCCGGGUUCGAUUCCCGGUGGAGUCA
rnacentral:tRNA from 1 species